rnacentral:rRNA from 1 species
CUCUAGGGUUAAUACCCACAGACGAUGACAUUAGCUGCAGAAUAAGCACCGGCUAACUCUGUGCCAGCAGCCGCGGUAAUACAGAGGGUGCAAGCGUUAAUCGGAAUUACUGGGCGUAAAGCGAGCGUAGGUGGCUUGAUAAGUCAGACGUGAAAUCCCCGGGCUUAACCUGGGAACUGCAUCUGAUACUGUUAAGCUAGAGUAGGUGAGAGGGAAGUAGAAUUUCAGGUGUAGCGGUGAAAUGCGUAGAGAUCUGAAGGAAUACCGAUGGCGAAGGCAGCUUCCUGGCAUCAUACUGACACUGAGGCUCGAAAGCGUGGGUAGCAAACAGGAUUAGAUACCCUGGUGGUCCACGCCGUAAACGAUGUC